UACAGAGGGUGCGAGCGUUGUUCGGAAUUAUUGGGCGUAAAGGGCGCGUAGGCGGUGCGGUAUGUCACCUGUGAAAUCUCCUGGCUCAACUGGGAGCUUGCAGGCGAAACUGCCGUGCUGGAGUGUGGGAGAGGUGCGUGGAAUUCCCGGUGUAGCGGUGAAAUGCGUAGAGAUCGGAAAGAACACCAACGGCGAAAGCACUCUGCUGGGCCGACACUGACACUGAGAGACGAAAGCUAGGGGAGCGAAUGGG
rnacentral:rRNA from 1 species